CUUCAUCUACCCGGUCAAAUCCUGCCGGGGGGUGGCGGUGAAGCGAGCCGAAGUGACCAAGCUGGGUCUCGGGAGCGGGGACAUGCGCGACAGGUGUUGGACUGUGAUAAAAGAAGAUGGGAAUAUGGUGUCUGCAAAGCAGGCGCCUCGCUUGGUGCUACUUUCUGUAACCUGUGAAGAUGGCUAUAUAACCCUGAAUGCUCCAGAAAUGAAGGCACUGAGGAUUCCUGUUGAACUCCCCAGCACAAACUCAGUCUGGAAUUGCAGACGGUUUGGAAUAGAAGCUCAAGGUAGGGACUGUGGAGAUGAGGCAGCGCAAUGGAUCACCACCUUCAUGAACAUGGUGCCGUGUCGAUUGGUGCAUUAUGAAGCAAACAUGUUAACGAGGAAGCCAGGAGAUUUCCUGCCUGCUUUUCCACCUACAGAUGAGGUUGCAUAUGCCGAAGGCAGUCCAAUCUUACUAAUUUCUGAAGCUUCCUUGGAGGAUCUAAAUAACCGUCUAGAAAAGAAAGUUGCAAUAACAAAUUUCCGGCCAAACAUUCUUGUUACAGAUUGUAGUCCAUAUGAGGAAGAUGCUUGGGUUGAAAUAUUAAUCGGUAAUGUGGAGUUGAAAGGAAGAAUGUCUUGUCCCAGAUGCGUUUUCACAACAAUUGAUCCAGAUACUGGGAUCAUGAAUGGAAAGGAACCACUGAAAACACUGAAAAGUUAUCGCAAGUGUGAUCCUUCUGAACAACAUGACUUUAAAAAUAAUCCUCCCUUUGGAUGGCUAUAUGGAAUUGAUAAAACUGGAAUAGUCGAAGUUGGAGACCCUGUGAAACAGCCUCAAAUAUGGUGAAUGUUGCCAUUUGGAUCAUCCAGAAAAGCUAGUAUAAAGGAACUGAAAUUUCAGUAUAAAGAGUUUUGAGAGCUUUGAAACGGCUCAGGGAAGUUGCCAUGUGCCUUAAGAAAAAUCUAAUCUCUGGAUCAUAGAGACAUCAGAGGCAGUGCUACUCUAGUGUGGUGAUGGACAAAUGGAGUUAAGCCUGUCACCUAAACCAGUAAUCUUCAACGUUUUCAGAAGCAGGACCCACCUUUAAUCCAAACAUGCAUUUGGGGACCCACUUACAGUAUUCUUCUUAUUUUUUACCUUCUAUUUGCAAGCUGAUAGUGUUGCUAUUGUGAUCCAUCAUAGGUCGUGAUGCAGCCCGCUAGUGGAAGACUAAUGUCCUAAGCCAAACUGUUAUAUAGAGGAGGCCCUUUACACGGGAGGCUUCUGCAUAUCUGUUUAGUUGAAGAGAGGGAUUUGCAUCACCUCUCUUGUUCACUGUUGUAGAGCUGUCUUAGCUGACUGUAUGAACUAGGGGUAACUCUUUUCUAAAAGUGGCAUCACACUUUACAUGGCAGUGUCAUUUGCCACAAGUAUACCACUGUUUCCUACAACCAACACAAAGAUAAUUGCUGUGCAUAUACUUGUCCACUCAAGUAGAUCCUUAUCUACUUCCUCACAUCUCACAUACUUAAAACUAUAGAAUUUACUACCACAAGUUGUCGUUAUGUCCAUCAAUUUGGAAGGCUUUAAAAGGGGAUUUAGACAAAUUCCUGGAGGAUAAGGCUAUCAGUGGCUACUAGUCCUGAUGGUGCCAGUAUCAGAGGCAUUCUGGGAACAUGACUUGGAAGAUGCUAUUGCACUCAUGUCUUACUUGUGGGUUUCCUAUAGGCAGCUGGUUGGCCAUGGUAUGAACAGAAUGCUAGACUAGAUGGAUCUUGAUCUGGCUUUUCUUCUGUUCUUGGACAUGACCUAAUCAGGGCCAUGUACAUCUAUGUGUACACCCAUGUGUUCAUGGGUAUUUUAGAAGCAUAUUCGUUAUUCCACUUUGCAGGGUUCCUUUGGAAACAGUGUUGUAUUAACAGCAAACAUGACUGGAAUGUAGGGUGCAAAACUGUUUUAAACAUUUGGAACUUGCACAAUUCUAGUAGGGGCCAGGUGAGCUUUGGGACAAGGGAAACUGAUUAGGAGAAAACUUUUAUGUACUUGAAUUGUUAAAUAAAACCUACUUGUCUCAGGGAAAAUACCAAAAGAAAUAAACUCAAAUCUGAAGAUAAUUGUUGUAGAUUUUAAGUGUUAAAAUGUAAUGCUUCAGUGGCUUAUUAGUACCGCUUGUUACUGCAAUAAUAAUCUCUAGUGCAACUGUGGCCUUAGCUAGACCUAAGGAUUAUCCCAGGCAAAUGGAGGGGUUGUCCCUGCCUGCUCCCGGUAUCCCGUUUGUCAUUUGGAUGUACAGGGACAAUCCCGGGAUAUAGGCCUGGUCUAGCCAUGGCCUGUGAUUUCUGCGAGUGUGCUUAGAACUCCAGGUUUAUAUGUUGAUCCUAUGUAUUUUUCUUGGAAGGAAUUCUCAAGGAGUUCAGUCUACAUAGGACUAUUAGUCUUACAGUCUGAACAUGAGCAUGUUUACUGACAAGCAAGUCCCAUAUAAUUCAAGGGAAUUUAGUACUGCACCAAUAACCAGUUUGUUCAUACAAAGGGAGCUACAUCAGCCAAGCGUUUUUUCACACACUCGCUGCUGCCCACUUACGGAUGUUCGCACAUCUUUUAGAGGACGUCAUCCGCCUCCCACAACUGCCUCCUGCUUGUUUUUCCAUUGCAAAGUAGACCCCUUUUAAUCCGUCUUUUUUAAAAAUGGAACGUGCUGCCAUUUCCUGCUGUGUGUAGGAAAGGCAGUGCAAUAUAAAUAGCCCUUGAAUGGGCCACGUGGUUGUUGCUGCUGCUUCCUCUUUCUCUCCCCAUGUAAAGAGACUGUCGCUGUUGUGGUACAGCAGCAAGAGGCCAUAGUGAUAUUAGGAAAAUGCGAAAAUCCACCUGUCUGAUGAAACUCAAUGUCAUCCUGUGGAAGUCGAAGUGGUUCAUGAAUUAGUAUUGUGUUACUGCUGCCCACUGAAGUUGAUUCAUUCACUGCAUUUUUCCCAUCAAAGGAGCAAUUUGCUGAUGUGUGUACCUAGAUACCUGUAAUGUACAGAAUGUUUUGUACAUUACAGGGGAUGUAAUGUAUAGAAGUCUAAUAUUACUCUAAAGCAUAUGGCAUGAUGAAAAACAACAAAAAACUUGUGGCACCUUAAAGACCAACAAAUUGA